UACAACAACUCAUACCAAGGCCCCGGCCAAUAGAAAGCCACCAAACAAGGAGAGUUAGGACGGACAAGAUAAGAAAGCAAAGAAAGACAAUCACAAGAGGGGUCAAAGGGGAGAUCGAGCAGAGCAUCACUUAGCCAACGCCUUCCCUGUUCUCAACCGAAGCAGAAGCCGCCUCUUCAUUGGAUGAACUUGAGCCCAAAGCACCACUUUUUCAAGACGCAGAUCUAACACAAGGAGAAUAGCUUUCUUAAAGCUAAUGUCUCAGCCGCAUCUUCACCAGACAGGCUUGAACUCACAGGAGGCGGUGCAGAUCUAGCACUCGGAGAUCUAGAGCUUCAUUCAAAUCCAACGUUUCGGCUACGAUUGACGAUCGAGGGAUAGCUGCCUCGCCAGAUCCAGAGACGUAGCCCAUGGUAGCCGACAGGGUUCCCUUUCAGCCCAAAUACGAGUCUGAGUGAUUUGAGUGUGCAUCAGCAGGUCAUGCUUGAGAAAAUCCAGGAUCUUCCUAAUCCUCCCUUCGCUCAGUGGAAUGGAAUUGAGAGUAGGAUACUGGACUUCAGGUACGUGCAGGAGAGACAUAGUGGCAAAGUGGAAUGACGGAGUGAAGGAAUCGUGAGUAAGAAUGGCUGAUGAAAGGAAAAAACUUCCUAGGGAGAGAAGAGGUUAAAAGGGACCUGAACCGCUGAUGCAGUUAGACGGUUAAUAAUGAUAAUGAAACAGAAUUUUAUAGUUUAUACUAAUAAAAUAGUACUCCCUCCUUGUUAGAUAUUAAAAAAUAUAAAAAAAUUAGUCUUUUAAAGUGUGAUUAUUGUCUUUUUAUUAAAAGUGCCCCUAUUGAAUGAA